rnacentral:rRNA from 1 species
GGAUUCCCUUGGUAACGGCGAGUGAAGAGGGAAGAGCCCAGCACCGAAGCCUGCGGCAGUUUUGCUGUUAGGCAAUGUGGUGUGUGGGUCGGCUCGCGGGACCAUCACUCCACUCGAAGUCCAGCAUUGAGUAUGGCUUCACUGGAUUUGGCCCAUAGAGGGUGAGAGGCCCGUACGGGUGGAGGUUCAGACAUGUGCGAUGGUUCACCAGGCCGGCCUCAGAGUCGGGUUGUUUGAGAUUGCAGCCCAAAGAGGGUGGUAAACUCCAUCCAAGGCUAAAUACUGCCACGAGUCCGAUAGCGAACAAGUACCAUGAGGGAAAGUUGAAAAGUACUCUGAAGAGAGAGUAAACAGUACGUGAAGCCGCAUGCAGGUAAACGGGUGGCGUCAAGCUGCGAGCCCGGAGGAUUCAGCUGACUGGGAUGUAGUGUACGCGCGCCUGGUGCGUCGAGAGGCCGGAGUAAGAUGUUUGGCGGUCCACUCCUCUCUCGGGAGUGGGGCGCGAUCGAUGUGCGCUUGCGUAUGUCGGUUGUCGCUAUGCAUGCCGGGUGGGUGCCGGAGUAUGCCGCUCGUCUGUUGGGCCACCUAGUCAGUGCAUUUUCUCCGUGGUGAACACCACGACCGGUGGGACUGCCAGUCUGCUGCGAGCAAGUCGUGUCCUCCUGACUCCAUAGUGUGUUGGGUGGGUGCGAUCGCAGGCGGAAUGGGUGAACGGCGCAGUGGCACCUCGGUGCUGCCGCGUGCUAUCGUGCACUCUCCGUCGUAAGCGAUUAGUGGGGGUUAGUGCUGUGACUACUUGCCCUCCGAUCGGCGGCUCGUAGUGGUGAAAGUAACUGUGCAGAGCACCGGAGUUCUCCACCUCAUUCAAUAUGGUACUCGGCACGCACGUCAUAGGUGCUGUUGAAUCGGGAUGCGCCGCUGUCUGCCUAGUGUUGGGCCUGACUGUCGUGUUGCCUGCGCAAAGUGGGUCCGGCGGUGGCUUCGAUGCUGGGCAACUGUGCAGUGUGUCGCGCGUCUCGGGUGUCUGUGGUACCGGGGGUGAAAUAGUCAGUGGUGCUGUGGUAGACGAGCUACCCGACCCGUCUUGAAACACGGACCAAGGAGUUUAACAUGUGUGCGAGUCAAAGGGUCCUACGAAACCCCUAGGCGCAGUGAAAGUGAAGUUCAUGCUGCACUUCUGCACAUACGCGGUGCAGCGUGGCGAGGUGAGAUCUCGUUGUACUCAUGACACACGCCGUAGACCUCUCUCUACUGGGCAUUAUAACUGGGGCAACGAGCGCAUCACCGGCCCGUCUCAUGAUGUGGUCAUGGGUGUACUUGCGCGUGGAGUGGCAACACAAAACGCGUAAAGCCUGUGCGUCAUCGGGGCGGAGCAUGAGCACACACGUUGAGACCCGAAAGAUGGUGAACUAUGCUUGCGUAGGUUGAAGCCAGAGGAAACUCUGGUGGAGGACCGUAGCGAUUCUGACGUGCAAAUCGAUCGUCAAACGUGAGUAUAGGGGCGAAAGACUAAUCGAAC